GUUAGAGAGAGGUGGAGAAAGAGAAAGAGAAAGCGGCAGGGAGCCGAAGAGAGACUGAAAAGUACAAGGAAGCUCUAGAGAGUCGAAGAUCGUCAGAUAGAAAGUUGGAGAGGAAGUUCUAGAGAGUUGAAGAGAGUCAGGUAGAAAGAGAGCCGGACAGUUGUCAAGAGCCGAAAGUUGUGGAGAGCCCAAGAGGAAGUUGUUCGGAGCGGCAGCACGUCAGACAGAAAGGCGCAGAGAUCUAGACAGAAAGUUGUAGAGAGCUAACGCAACAAAAAGCCACCACAGAAACCAUGAGAACCAAAGGAAAACAGACGACAACAGACAACAGAUGAGAGCAGAACACAAGGCAGAAGAAAAACGGGCACACACCACAAUCUCAAACCAGCUGAUCUCCUGGGCUUUCAAGGCUCAGCGUCAGCAACAUGAAAGAUGCAACAGAUUCUCCAUUGCUUGGCAUCAUUGAGCUUGACAUUGGCUGUGUCUCCACGGGCUACCCUCUUGCUCAAACUCAAGGUAAUGCAGGAAUCAUG